UCCCGUCCUUAAAUGGGCCAUUGCGUGGGCCUCCGCGUCCGAGGUGGGCCCCCCGGCGGGCGCCAGGCCCCGGCAGGAGGCGGAGCCGACAGUGAGGCGUCGGGUGGGGAUCCAGGUGUAAGUGUUCUACCCCCGCACGCACCGGUCGGUCGGUGGGGUGGGCUGCGAUCCAGGAAAGGGCUGCGCCGAGAAAACAUUAAAGGUAGCCAAGUUACGUGCAAAUGCUCUUCUGAGCGCUUGACUCCUCACAACUCUACCAGAAAAAGUUACCAUUACCGUCCCUGUUUACAGGUCAUGAUCCUGGGUCUGGAGAUCAAGCCUCCCAGGUGGGCCCCACGCUCAGCAGGGAGUCUGCCUGAGAUUCUCUCUCCCUCUGCCCCCCACCCCAUGCAUGUGCUCUCAUUCAUUCGCUCUCUCUCUAAAAUAAAUAAAUCUUUUUUUAAAAAAA